rnacentral:rRNA from 1 species
GACGAAGGGGGCUAGCGUUGUUCGGAAUUACUGGGCGUAAAGCGCGUGUAGGCGGUUGUUCGAGUUGGAUGUGAAAGCCUUGAGCUCAACUCAAGAAAUGCAUUCAGGACUGAAUGACUAGAGGACCGGAGAGGAUAGUGGAAUUCCCAGUGUAGUGGUGAAAUACGUAGAGAUUGGGAAGAACACCAGUGGCGAAGGCGGCUAUCUGGACGGUUUCUGACGCUAAGACGCGAAAGCGUGGGGAGCAAACAGG